rnacentral:tRNA from 1 species
UGCAUUUUAGUGUAUGGUGCACAAAAAUUUUUGAUGUUUUUAGGGAUAGUUUAAUUCUAUUAAAUGUAA